UUGGGUCAAGUUUCUACACAUUCUAAAUCUUCGUUUUCUGGCUAAUGAAAAGAAAAUAGGAUUCCAAUGAGUCUCCUAUCUACCUAUUCCAGGACUUGUACUUCAGAGGAGGCCGGUGAUGGAUGUGCUGCCCCUACUGGAUGGGCUCCACAGUCUGUCUUCCCACCACUGAGUGGCAGAGAAGAUGACUGAGUUGGCUGGCUGCGCAGGCGCUGGAAAAAGAGGUCAAGUUGACAGGUAAAUUGGAGCCAUCUCUGGAAGGAGAGAGCAUAUGAAGACAAGGAGAGAAUAGGUGACAUGUGACUGUCAGUCCUUGCACUAAGCUGAUGGCAGGAUGGAGCAGACCCUCCAUACUUCAGAGGAGGCUGGUGAUGGAUGUGCUGCCCCUACUGGAUGGGCUCCACAGUCUGUCUUCCCACCACUGAGUGGCAGAGGUGAGAGCCCACUGUGUCAGUCUGUGGAGCAUAUGAAGUUCACACCUCACUUCUGUCUCAGCAGCCCUGGGGGUGACCUCAGCAAGAGCGUGCGUAGCACCUAUGCUAGCCUCUGGGGUGUGCUCUGUGUGGGCCCAGCUCACCCACAGCUCCUCUCCCCCUAUAUCUCAGCCACCUUCCAGGUCCUUCUGCUGGAAGCUCUGGUUCGCUGAGAAUCUUAGACUCCUCUUCCCCCAUGAGCUGUGUGGAAGCUUCAUAUAACAGG